GAGCGAUCCCGGAAGGAGCCGAAGCGACGAUGCGGGGGAAGAGAUAGAGUCUUCCUCUGUCGCCUAGGCUGGAGUGCAAAGGUGUGAUCUCAGCGCACUGCAACCUCCACCUCCCGGGUUCAAGCGAUUCUCCUGCCUCAGCCUCUGGAGUAGCUGGGAUUACAGGUGUGCUCCACCAUGCCCGGCUAAUUUUUUAUUUUUAGUAGAGUUGGGGGUUUCACCAUAUUGGCCAGGCUGGUCUCGAACUCCUGACCUUGUGAUCCACCAGCUUCGGCCUCCCGAAGUUCUAGGAUUACAGGCAUGAGCCACCACACCUGGCUGAAUGAUGCCAUUUUUAAAGCAAAGGUCUCCAUGACUAUUAAUUUCUCUGUCCCUCUAAUCAGUAUUCCCUGAGAAAUUAAUUGGGCUGGCAAGUCAAAGCCCUGAACCCCAGCUGCAGCUUUCUGAGCUUGAUCUGUCCAUCUGUGAAGUAAGGCAAUGAGAAGUGAGUCGGGGAACGGAACCCACGAUGAGUCAGAGGAGUGUUCCAGUUGCACACACACUCCCCAGCCACCUGGCAGCUCAGUCUAUAAUC
rnacentral:antisense_RNA from 1 species